rnacentral:misc_RNA from 1 species
CCUGAGGAUUUUCCUGGCUAAUGCA